CAUACCUAACAGGUCAGUCCUGACUCCAACCCAGACUCUCCUCUCCAUACCUAACAGGAGUGUGACCAAGGGCCUGUGUUCGUACUGCUGUAAACCGAUGGUGGCUGGAGCCAACAUGAUCCUGGAGGAUCUACAGAUCUACAGCCACUCAUCCUGCUUCAAGUGUGAGGUGUGCCAUUGUCCUCUAGGAGACCUCCAUGUAGGAGACAGUAUGUGGCUCCUCAGAGGGACAGUGCACUGUGAAGGCUGCUUCAGCACAGCCAGAGAGAAGUAUCUCCUCUAGGGAAGGAUGACAGAACGCUCACGUCUCCACGGUAACACAGCCAGAACACAGAGACACCGCUUCAGAAGUCGGAAAAGGACACAUUGCUUUUACAUGGGUGGAUCUGGCGGUUGACGCAGCAGUAAAUUACAUUUUAUAAUGUAAUCUGGAUCUAUAAUCUUCACAACAUCUCUUGCAAAUGAUUGUCACAUAUAGAAUCAGAUCCAAUGACCUGGAUGGAUUGUUUAUGUACUUCUCUAUGUAUCUAUUUUCAUGUAAUAUGACGAUUUGUUCAAUCACAUUACAAUAUAACCACCAACUGAUGUCAGCAUGUAGUCAUGUUUAUUAAAAUGGACAUCUUCA